rnacentral:rRNA from 1 species
UACAGAGGUCUCAAGCGUUGUUCGGAUUCAUUGGGCGUAAAGGGUGCGUAGGUGGCGUGGUAAGUCGGGUGUGAAAUUUCGGAGCUUAACUCCGAAACUGCAUUCGAUACUGCGGUGCUUGAGGACUGGAGAGGAGACUGGAAUUCAUGGUGUAGCAGUGAAAUGCGUAGAGAUCAUGAGGAAGACCAGUGGCGAAGGCGGGUCUCUGGACAGUUCCUGACACUGAGACACGAAGGCCAGGGGAGCAAACGGG